GAUGAAGAACGUAGCGAAAUGCGAUAAGUAAUGUGAAUUGCAGAAUUCAGUGAAUCAUCGAAUCUUUGAACGCACCUUGCGCCCUUUGGCUAUUCUGAAGGGCAUGCCUGUUUGAGUAUCGUGAACACCUCAACUCUCAUGGUCUGCCAUGAUGAGCUUGGACUUUGGGGGUCUUGCUGGCCUACUGUCAGCUCCUCUCAAAUGAAUCAGCUUGCCAGUGUUUGGUGGCACCACAGGUGUGAUAACUAUCUACGCUUGUGGUUUUCUGCCAGGUAACCUCCAGUGAUGGAGGUUCGCUGGAGCUCACAAAUGUCUCUCCUCAGCGAGGACAGCUUUUUGAACGUUUGAUCUCAAAUCAGGUAGGACUACCCGCUGAACUUAAGCAUAUCAAUAAGCGGAGGA
rnacentral:misc_RNA from 1 species